UACAGAGGUCCCAAGCGUUGUUCGGAUUCACUGGGCGUAAAGGGUGCGUAGGUGGCAGGGUAAGUUUGAUGUGAAAUCUCCGGGCUUAACCCGGAAACUGCAUUGAAUACUAUCCUGCUCGAGGUUUGGAGGGGGGACUGGAAUUCUCGGUGUAGCAGUGAAAUGCGUAGAUAUCGAGAGGAACACCGAUGGCGAAGGCAGGUCUCUGGGCCACUACUGACGCUGAGAAGCGAAAGCAUGGGGAGCGAACAGG
rnacentral:rRNA from 1 species